GACGAACGCUGGCGGCGUGCUUAACACAUGCAAGUCGAACGGAAAGGCCCUGCUUUUGUGGGGUGCUCGAGUGGCGAACGGGUGAGUAACACGUGAGUAACCUGCCCUGGACUUUGGGAUAACUUCAGGAAACUGGGGCUAAUACCGGAUAGGAGCUCCUGCUGCAUGGUGGGGGUUGGAAAGUUUCGGCGGUUGGGGAUGGACUCGCGGCUUAUCAGCUUGUUGGUGGGGUAGUGGCUUACCAAGGCUUUGACGGGUAGCCGGCCUGAGAGGGUGACCGGCCACAUUGGGACUGAGAUACGGACCAGACUCCUACGGGAGGCAGCAGUGGGGAAUAUUGCACAAUGGGCGGAAGCCUGAUGAAGCAACGCCGCGUGCGGGAUGACGGCCUUCGGGUUGUAAACCGCUUUAGCCUGUGACGAAGCGUGAGUGACGGUAAUGGGUAAAGAAGCACCGGCUAACUACGUG
rnacentral:rRNA from 1 species